UAUUGGUCAAUGGCCGAGAGGCUGAACCAGCCAAGUCGCGUGAGGGAGGACGGCCCUACGGGUUGUAAACCUCUUUUGUCAGGGAGCAAGGGACAGGUCGUGACCUGUUGUUAGAGUACCUGAAGAAAAAGCAUCGGCUAACUCCGUGCCAGCAGCCGCGGUAAUACGGAGGAUGCGAGCGUUAUCCGGAUUUAUUGGGUUUAAAGGGUGCGCAGGCGGAGGCACAAGUCAGCGGUAAAAUCGCGGGGCUCAACCCCGCUCCGCCGUUGAAACUGUGUCCCUUGAGUGCGCGAAGGGUAGGCGGAAUGCGUGGUGUAGCGGUGAAAUGCAUAGAUAUCACGCAGAACUCCGAUCGCGAAGGCAGCCUACCGGCGCGCAACUGACGCUCAUGCACGAAAGCGUGGGUAUCGA
rnacentral:rRNA from 1 species